UGUUGUGUUUCCUCUUGUUCUUUAUCAAAGUCCCCUAAAUAAGUAGGAAUGGGCAGUGUCUGCACAGCCUCUGCACACCUUUUCCACUUACUAAUUAGGGCCUGCUUCACAGUAAGAGACUAUUCAGUGCCUGGCUCUGAAAAGGGAUGCCAAUGAAACUAAGCACAAGCAUGAAGCUCCUUGAAGUUGCCCUUCUCUUCCUAGCUGCAUUCAGCACCUACGUUACAAAUGGUAAGACUACAACAAAUACCAAA